GCAAUUCCAGUCUUACCAAUAUAUCUCACUUGUUCUUCAGGUGAUAAAUACACACGAAUAUGGGUUCCAUCAAGUGCACCAAUGCAAUCCUUAAAGUGUGGGUAUGCUCUCUUGUCAUUCCUAAUCCUCUUGUGCACAUUGCAAAAAUUAGGAUCUGUUGGUCUCAAGAAAUCUUGUGCCAUGGCAACCACACAAUUUAGAACUUCAUGAAAUUUUCUACUAAUAGUUUCACCUGAGUGUUUGAACUUAUUUUGUCCUCUUGUAUUUGACUCACACCCACCACAUGUGAAUAGGAAAAUGGUCAACAUUUCAUAAGUAUUCACGUGCUUCGAUCAUUUUAAUCCGUACCUCUCAACCAACACAUCAUGAAGAUCCUGAAAAAUAACCUCAUUCAUCCGAAGCAUUCGAUGGUACUCCCUUGGAGUGUUUACCGUCUCCAUCA
rnacentral:lncRNA from 1 species